CUCGGCCCGUCUGCCUGGCACCGCCCAUAGCCCCGCCCCGAGGACUGGUCUCCGUCCCUGGUGCUGACGCAGCCCAGGGCCGCGGGGCCCUCCCUCAUCGAACUAGAAAUCCUCGCCACUGGCUGGGGUGCGCGGCGGUAGCCCCCGCCCGUCCCAACCGGAGCCCCUAAACGUUCCUCUCCGCGGCGGCUCGACAGAGACCGGAACUGGGGCGCGAGGCGACCAGCCCGAGACCGGAAGCGGAAGCGUGGGGCGCUGGCGUGGAAGGAGCCUGGAGGGUUGGCUGCGUGGGGUCCACUGUCGUCUUCGCGCGGGACCGGCUUCACGUGCCCCCCAGUCUGUGUUAAAACCGGCAUCAAGAUCCACCAGCCUUGAAGUCUGCCGUCCUCACUGACCCGUGGAUUUCUGUGUGACGGGAGCCUGCCUGAGUGAGCCGUGCGGACCAGAAGAGAGCAUCCGGGUUCUUCCGCGGCCCGUUGUCCCGGAAAAUUGUCU